AUACUUACCUGACAGGGGAGAUACCAUGAUCACGAAGGUGGUUUUCCCAGGGCGAGGCUUAUCCAUUGCACUCCAGAUGUGCUGACCCCUGUGAUUUCCCUUUUUCUAUAUUAAAAUUUUUUUUAAGAAGUCAGCUAAUUAAUAACCUUA
rnacentral:snRNA from 1 species